UGACGGCCGUACCUCAGCCUCACCCCACACAGCGCCCCCGCCCGCCCCCCCGACCCCUGGGUUCUCUCCACGCGGCCGGAACCCCAAGGGUGGUGACCUGGACGGGCUGUUCUGCUCUGGGCAUGCCGGUCCUUAAAUUCUAGAACCUUUUCUUUGUUUUAUUCCUUCGUUGUUGUGUGAGUUUGUUUGCACUAUUUACUAUUAUUUUGGCUUAAAACAGCGCAAAUUCAUUUUCCUGCAGUUUACGCAUUUUUUUCACGUGACAUCUUUGUUGCUUUUUCUCUGUUUUCUAACUUGAAUUCUGUUCGUCAAGCGUGGUCGCUUCUGAGAGGAGCCUGUCUGGUAAGGCUGAGCCGGAGCCCAGGUGUGGAUGGCGACCAGGUGUGGACCAUGAUCCUGCAAGGGGCCGGGGCUGUGCGGGGCGGGCAGGUAGAGAGGGAAGUGAGGAGUGAGAUCCAGGGCAGGGGAGAGGCUGGGCCGGGCUUGGAGCUCUCGGACCUCCCUUGGAGGGCCAGCCUGGGGUUUACACGACUUCCUCAUCCUCUCAGGCGUCUGACAUGCCGGGCAGAGGACAGGACUGGAGAAAGCCUUGCUGCCGAGCUGUGUCCUCUCUGUCAAUGAGUAACCUCACGUCCUAUUUGUGGCCUGUCUCAUGGCUAAUUAAGAUGGGAAUCUCAUCGAUCAGGGCUCAGAAUGAUGUUUGCUACGAUGUCUCAUGCAUCGAUGGAGCUAAUAAAUGUCAGGUGCUGUUUUCUGCAAAGUGUCCAACGAAGGCAUCGUUUUAGAGGCUGGACGUGCUUCCCAGCAGGGCAGGGUUGCCGCCCGGAGAAGGAAGCGCACGUUCCGGUUCUUAACUCUGGAAGCUCCUGCCCGCGGCUCCCGCAGGACAAAAUCCGGCAGCCCGGACCACAUCUCCCGGCCCGGCGGCUGCGGUAGCCAGUCUACUCGCUUUACAUGCCUGUCUGUGAACGAGAAUCAGCAGGCUCCGAUGUCUGAAUACGGAGGUUAUAAAUGUUACCACCCCAGAAGUUUAAGAGCAAAAAACCUUCAUCCUGUCACGUAUCUCCACCUGGACAAGUCUCAGUGACGUCUGGUCUUUGCUUGUCUGAGUUUGGGCGUUCGUGGCCGCAGCACAGGGCUCAGGAAUUCCACGGCGCGACCUACAACUGGCCCCUGGUGGAGUGAAGGUUGUCGCCGCUCCCACUCCCAUCAUCAGUUCCGUUCCCCGUUCUGUCUCCGUGGGUUCGACGACCUUGUACCAGUGGAACCACCGUGUGUGUCCUUUUGUGUCCCGACUGGGAGCCCCCAUGUGGCCGCAGGUGUCAGGACGUCCUCCCGCAGAAAGCGGAGAAUGCCCAGCACCCCUUCGCUCACAGGUGUUCCUCCCGCCUCACUCACCUGGACUCGCCUCCUGCCCCUGUCGGGCUCUUUCCUGAGGCUGGGAGCUCCCCAGGCCGGACGCUUCCUCUCACCUGGGGACCCCGGGCCCUGAGCGGAGCCGUGUGAGCAGGACUCUCAGGAGCCGCUGGUGACCCCGGCCUCACAGGUGCGCCGCCUGCAGCCCCUCUAGCCCUGGUGUGGAAGUCCAUGUCCUCAGCAGUCGGCUGCUGCUGUUCACACUUUGCAUCAGAUGGAAAAGAGAAUGUGGGCUCGUUUCAGAGGAGGGAGACGUGAGGGGGUCCAGGAGACGCGUCUCUCACACGCCCGGACAGGAAGUGGCUCGGUGAGGAGGGGGCCCACCUGGGGGGACAGUGUCGCCGAGCAUGUCCAGGGCUGGGUGCUCCUGAGACUCACCCCACCCAAUGUUCAUGAUUCUAAUUAUAUGGUUCUUAAAACUUCUUGGGAAUAUUGUCGUCUGACUAUGAUGUUGGCAAUGCCCCCAGCGAACAGAGUCGUGAGCGAGCCUCCCCCUCCGUGGGACCAUGUGGGCUCAGAGCCUUUCAAGUGCAGCGUUUGGACUUUGGAGCAAGUGCAGCGUUAUUCUUGGAACAACGGAAGCUCUAUUAGAUGGGCCUGAGCACGUGUAGGCAGGGAUAUUUGUGCACGGAAAACCGAAUGCUCUUCGGGCUUAUUGAGGCUUUGUAGUCAUAUCAAGGCCCCGA